GUGUCAGCAGCCGCGGUAAUACGUAGGGUGCAAGCGUUGUCCGGAAUUAUUGGGCGUAAAGAGCUCGUAGGCGGUCUGUCGCGUCGGCUGUGAAAUCUCGGGGCUCAACCCCGAGCCUGCAGUCGAUACGGGCAGACUAGAGUGCUGUAGGGGAGACUGGAAUUCCUGGUGUAGCGGUGAAAUGCGCAGAUAUCAGGAGGAACACCGGUGGCGAAGGCGGGUUUCUGGGCAGUAACUGACGCUGAGGAGCGAAAGCGUGGGGAGCGAACAGGAUUAGAUACCCUGGUAGUCCACGCCGUAAACGGUGGGUGCUAGGUGUGAGCGGUAUUCCACGCCGUUCGUGCCGCAGCUAACGCAUUAAGCACCCCGCCUGGGGAGUACGGCCGCAAGGCUAAAACUUAAAGGAAUUGACGGGG
rnacentral:rRNA from 1 species